GAUGAACGCUGGCGGCGUGCCUAAUACAUGCAAGUCGAGCGAACGGACGAGAAGCUUGCUUCUCUGAUGUUAACGGCGGACGGGUGAGUAACACGUGGAUAACCUACCUAUAAGACUGGGACAACUUCGGGAAACCGGAGCUAAUACCGGAUAAUAUUUUGAACCGCAUGGUUCAAAAGUGAAGGACGGUCUUGCUGUCACUUAUAGAUGGAUCCGCGCUGCAUUAGCUAGUUGGUAAGGUAACGGCUUACCAAGGCAACGAUGCAUAGCCGACCUGAGAGGGGGUUGGGCCACACAGGAACUGAGCCACGGUCCAGAGUCCUACGGGAGGCAGCGGUAGGGAAUCUUCCGAGAUGGGCGAAAGCCUGACGGAGCAACGCCGCGUGAGUGAUGAAGGUCUUCGGAUCGUAAAACUCUGUUAUUAGGGAAGACCAUAUGUGUAAGUAACUGUGCACAUCUUGACGGUACCUAAUCAGAAAGCCACGGCUAACUACGUG
rnacentral:rRNA from 1 species